rnacentral:tRNA from 1 species
ACAGAAAUGCCAGAGGAAAUAUGGGCUAGAUUUAGGAUUUAGUUACGAUGAUUUAUCUUUCUGUU